rnacentral:snRNA from 1 species
GUUUGCUUCAGCAGUACAUAUACUAAAAUUGAACUGAUACAGAAAAAAAAUAACAUGGUUCCUGCAUAAGAAUAACAUGCAAAUUUGUGAAGCAUUCCAUAUGUAA